GACGAACGCUGGCGGCGUGCUUAACACAUGCAAGUCGAACGGAAAGGCCUCUUUCGGGGGGUACUCGAGUGGCGAACGGGUGAGUAACACGUGAGUAACCUGCCCUUGACUUUGGGAUAACUUCAGGAAACUGGGGCUAAUACCGGAUAGGAGCUCCUGCUGCAUGGUGGGGGUUGGAAAGUUUCGGCGGUUGGGGAUGGACUCGCGGCUUAUCAGCUUGUUGGUGGGGUAGUGGCUUACCAAGGCUUUGACGGGUAGCCGGCCUGGGAGGGUGACCGGCGACAUUGGGACUGAGAUACGGCCCAGACGCCUACGGGAGGCAGCAGGGGGGAAUAUUGCGCAAUGGGUGGAAGCCUGAUGCAGCAUCGCCGUGGGCGGGAUGACGGCCUUCGGGUUGUAAACCGCUUUCGCUCAUGACGAAGCUUUGUGUGACGGUAGUGGGUAAAGAAGCACCGGCUAACUACGUG
rnacentral:rRNA from 1 species